AAACAGGCCCUUUUUAGGGCCACAAAAUUCGGAACGCCUUGGGAU
rfam:Oikopleura dioica, whole genome shotgun assembly, reference scaffold set, scaffold scaffold_16